rnacentral:misc_RNA from 1 species
AUGCUUUGCAUGCCAGCCAAGACAACCGGGAUCAUAGUGUACAAGGUAUCGAUUCCAGUGGCAGGAAAAGAUAUGGAUCAAAAGGUUCGUCAAGUGGAACCAAAGAAGACGGCUCACAAUCUUCCAACUACGUUAUGAUGAACCAUCAGGAGAACCCGAAUUGUAGAAGCUCAAGUGGUACUUCUCGUUCACUGGAUAAAACUUGCAACCAACACACCGGCGUUCCAAAUAGCUCAGUUGUAGAGAAGAGGAGACAUAAAAACAAAGAGAAGAAAAUUUCUCAUGAUAACCACUCUGAUGGAGGUACG